rnacentral:rRNA from 1 species
AGCGAACGCUGGCGGCAGGCCUAACACAUGCAAGUCGAACGAACUCUUCGGAGUUAGUGGCGGACGGGUGAGUAACACGUGGGAACGUGCCUUUUGGUUCGGAAUAACUCAGGGAAACUUGUGCUAAUACCGAAUGUGCCCUUCGGGGGAAAGAUUUAUCGCCAUUAGAGCGGCCCGCGUCGGAUUAGCUAGUUGGUGAGGUAACGGCUCACCAAGGCGACGAUCAGUAGCUGGUAUGAGAGGAUGACCAGCCACACUGGGACUGAGACACGGCCCAGACUACUACGGGAGGCAGCAGUGGGGAAUCUUGCGAAAUGGGCGAAAGCAUGACGCAGCCAUGCCGCGUGAAUGAUGAAGGUCUUAGGAUUGUAAAAUUCUUUAACCGGGGACGAUAAUGACGGUACCCGGAGAAGAAGCCCCGGCUAACUUCGUG